rnacentral:rRNA from 1 species
AUUGAACGCUGGCGGCAGGCCUAACACAUGCAAGUCGAGCGAGCGGCGGACGGGUGAUGAAUAGCAGGCAAACUGGCUGAUGGGGAGGGAUUACGACUGGAAGCGGUAGCUAAUAACGCGUCCCGUCAGGUCUACGCAGAUGGGAUUAGCUAGUAGGUGGGGGAACGGCUCACCUAGGCGACGAUCCCUAGCUGGUCUGAGAGGAUGACCAGCCACACUGGAACUGAGACACGGUCCAGACUCCUACGGGAGGCAGCAGUGGGGAAUAUUGCACAAUGGGCGAAAGCCUGAUGCAGCCAUGCCGCGUGUGUGAAGAAGGCCUUCGGGUUGUAAAGCACUUUCAGCGGGGAGGCGUUACCCGCAGAAGAAGCACCGGCUAACUCCGUGCCAGCAGCCGCGGUAAUAC